UACGUAGGGUGCGAGCGUUAAUCGGAAUUACUGGGCGUAAAGCGUGCGCAGGCGGUUUUGUAAGACAGAUGUGAAAUCCCCGGGCUCAACCUGGGAACUGCAUUUGUGACUGCAAGGCUAGAGUAUGGCAGAGGGGGGUGGAAUUCCACGUGUAGCAGUGAAAUGCGUAGAGAUGUGGAGGAACACCGAUGGCGAAGGCAGCCCCCUGGGCCAAUACUGACGCUCAUGCACGAAAGCGUGGGGAGCAAACAGG
rnacentral:rRNA from 1 species